GGAUGACGCAAAUCUUACCGGGCACCACCAAACUUAGCAUCCAUUCAUGGAGGCUAUGGCUGUCCCUCGCGGAACGAUGUGCGACCAUGCGCCAACUCAGGGCCCUCCAAGCUACUUUUACCGUCCAUGGCUUCCACAGAAACAAUUAUGCUAUAAGCAAACUCAUUGCCUUCUGCGCCCUCUCUCCGCAUGGCAAUCUCUCUUAUGCUUCACUUUUAUUUAACCAAAUUGAGAUGCCCAAUUCAUUUAUUUAUAACACUCUAAUUAGAGCUUAUUCUCGUAGCUCACAGCCUCAUUUGGCUCUACAUUAUUUUGAUAUCAUGUUGAGAGAUGAGAAUGUGACGCCU
rnacentral:misc_RNA from 1 species